rnacentral:rRNA from 1 species
UACGUAGGUGGCAAGCGUUAUCCGGAAUUACUGGGCGUAAAGCGCGCGCAGGCGGUUUCUUAAGUCUGAUGUGAAAGCCCACGGCUCAACCGUGGAGGGUCAUUGGAAACUGGGGGACUUGAGUGCAGAAGAGAAAAGCGGAAUUCCACGUGUAGCGGUGAAAUGCGUAGAGAUGUGGAGGAACACCAGUGGCGAAGGCGGCUUUUUGGUCUGUAACUGACGCUGAGGCGCGAAAGCGUGGGGAGCAAACAGG